GUCGGGAAUUUUGGGCAAUGGGCGAAAGCCUGACCCAGCAACGCCGCGUGAGGGAUGAAGGCCCUCGGGUCGUAAACCUCUGUCAGGAGGGAAGAACUCGUUCUCGAAUAACACGCGAGAACGUUGACGGUACCUCCAAAGGAAGCGCCGGCUAACUCCGUGCCAGCAGCCGCGGUAAUACGGAGGGCGCAAGCGUUGCUCGGAAUUACUGGGCGUAAAGCGCGUGCAGGCGGUCGAGUAAGUCGGUUGUGAAAUCCCCAGGCUCAACCUGGGAACUGCAUCCGAAACUGCUCGGCUAGAGUCCCGGAGAGGGAGGCGGAACUCCCAGUGUAGGGGUGAAAUCCGUAGAUAUUGGGAAGAACACCGGCGGCGAAAGCGGCCUCCUGGACGGUGACUGACGCUGAUACGCGAAAGCGUGGGGAGCAAACAGGAUUAGAAACCCCGGUAGUCC
rnacentral:rRNA from 1 species